AAGUCGAGCGGCAGCGCGGGGCAACCUGGCGGCGAGCGGCGAACGGGUGAGUAAUGUAUCGGAACGUGUCCUUGAGUGGGGGAUAGCCCGGUGAAAACCGGAUUAAUACCGCAUGAGCUCGAGAGAGGAAAGCGGGGGAUCGAAAGACCUCGCGCUGGAGGAGCGGCCGAUAUCAGAUUAGCUAGAUGGUGAGGUAAAGGCUUACCAUGGCGAUGAUCUGUAGCUGGUCUGAGAGGAUGAUCAGCCACACUGGGACUGAGACACGGCCCAGACUCCUACGGGAGGCAGCAGUGGGGAAUUUUGGACAAUGGGGGCAACCCUGAUCCAGCCAUUCCGCGUGAGUGAAGAAGGCCUUCGGGUUGUAAAGCUCUUUUGUUCGGGACGAAACGGUUUCACCUAAUACGUGAGACUACUGACGGUGCCGGAAGAAUAAGCACCGGCUAACUACGUGCCAGCAGCCGCGGUAAUACGUAGGGUGCGAGCGUUAAUCGGAAUUACUGGGCGUAAAGCGUGCGCAGGCGGUUUUAUAAGCCAGAUGUGAAAUCCCCGGGCUCAACCUGGGAAUGGCAUCUGGGACUGUAAAGCUGGAGUAUGGCAGAGGAGACUGGAAUUCCUGGUGUAGCAGUGAAAUGCGUAGAUAUCAGGAGGAAUACCGAUGGCGAAGGCAGGUCUCUGGGCCAAUACUGACG
rnacentral:rRNA from 1 species